rnacentral:rRNA from 1 species
UACGUAGGUGGCAAGCGUUGUCCGGAAUUAUUGGGCGUAAAGCGCGCGCAGGCGGUUUCUUACGUCUGAUGUGAAAGCCCCCGGCUCAACCGGGGAGGGUCAUUGGAAACUGGGAAACUUGAGUGCAGAAGAGGAAAGUGGAAUUCCAAGUGUAGCGGUGAAAUGCGUAGAGAUUUGGAGGAACACCAGUGGCGAAGGCGACUUUCUGGUCUGUAACUGACGCUGAGGCGCGAAAGCGUGGGGAGCAAACAGG